GCGAGUGUAGUUUAAUGGUAGAACCUUAGCCUUCCAAGCUAAUGAUGACGGUUCGAUUCCGUUCACUCGCUCCA
rnacentral:tRNA from 1 species